AUUUUGCAGCUCCGGAAGUUCCCAAUUCCACCUCGAUCAGGUCUGACCACGGCCAGUCGGUAAGCCUCCGCUUCUUCAGUUCUGAUCUUCUUAUUCUUCCGUCCUCUUCAACCAUCUUCCCUCUUUCUCCAAAACCCCAAGAAGAAAAUGACCAUUGCCAUGGGUCCGCCACCACCUAGAAACCCCAUCUCCACCACCUCCCAGUCCCAAGCCAGAAACCCAGAAGAACCUUCAGCUUCAAGUGCUGCUUCUUCUUCAUCCUCCGCAUCCCAAUCAACAACUGAUACGUCUUCAAUGGGUCCCCCUCCCCCUAAAAUUCACAACGCUCCCGAACCAGCGCCCGCCGCGGAACGUUCUGCCGAUACCCCCCAACCAAAGCCUUCCGAAGCUGAUGAUUCUGUUUCUGAGACUGUUGAUUCCAAAGAGGGCGCCAGCUCCAGCUCCACAAAAGACACUAGCCAAACUGGGAGACAACAAGAGAAAGGCUUUAGUAAUUCUACGGAUAUAGCAGUGGCUUAUAAAAUUCCAGAGUGGAACGGGCCCCCUUGCCAUCACUAUUCUCUUGAAGUUCUCAAAGAUGGCUCCAUCAUUGACCAAUUCGAUGUAUUCAAGAAGGGGGCUUACAUGUUUGGGCGUGUUGAACUCUGUGAUUUUGUCCUUGAGCAUCCAACGAUCUCACGGUUCCAUGCUGUUAUCCAGUUCAAGAGCAAUGGAGAAGCUUAUAUCUAUGAUCUUGGUAGCACACACGGGACUUUCAUAAACAAGAAUGAGGUGAAGAAAAAGGAUUACGUGGAGUUGCAUGUUGGUGAUGUGAUUCGCUUUGGCCAUUCAUCUCGGUUGUACAUAUUUCAAGGACCAACUGACUUGAUGCCACCUGAAGCUGACUUGAAGACUAUACGCACUGCUAAGAUCCGACAGGAGAUGCAAGAUAUGGAAGCAUCACUUUUACGAGCAAAACUUGAAGCAUCUUUGGCUGAUGGUAUAUCAUGGGGCAUGCAGGAGGAUGCUAUUGAAGAAGCUGAGGAUGAAAUUGAUGAAAUAACUUGGCAAACUUACAAGGGACAACUUACGGAGAAGCAGGAAAAAACACGUGAAAAAGUCAUGAAAAGACUUGAAAAGAUUGCUCAUAUGAAGAAAGAGAUAGAUGCUAUUCGGGCCAAGGACAUUGCUCAAGGUGGGUUGACGCAGGGACAACAGACCCAGAUUGCUAGGAAUGAACAGAGGAUAUCACAAAUCAUGGAAGAGCUUGAAAACUUGGAAGAGACGUUAAAUGAAAGUAUUCGAGAAAGCCUUGGUGCUCGUGCUGGAAAGACAACACGUGGUAAGAGACAAGGGGCGACAGAGGACAAUGAAGAAGAUUACCUGAGUGAUGAUGAUGAUUUCUAUGACCGGACGCAGAAGCCUUCUAAGAAGAAGAGUGGAGAAAACCAAUCAAUUGAGACUGCUGACUCUCUUCUUGAAAAGAAAGAAGCCAUUCUUAAAGAGAUGGAAGACACAAGAAACUUACUUCUGAAGGAGGACAAAAGUGUGCCCAAAAGAGAAGUUGCUGGAGAAGGAGAUGCACUUGAUGCAUAUAUGUCCAGCGUAUCAUCUCAGCUAGCAUUUGACAAGAAGGAUAAGCUUGAAAAGGGCUUGGCCUCUCUGCAGUCAGAAUUGGAUAGGGUCUCAUACUUGCUGAAGGUUGCUGAUCCUACGGGAGAAGCUGCUCGGCGAAGAGAAUCAAAAGCACAAGAACCAAGACACAAUGUGGUAGUUGCUGCUUCUGAUGCUGUAGAGCUGUCACCAUCCGAAAAGCGUCAAAGCAACAGACAAGAGCGCUCCGUAUGUGGUUCAGACAAACUUGAGAAAGUACAGAAUAGAUCCAGCAGUAAAGAGGGCAAGAUUGAUGCAACUGCAGAUUCCAGCAAUAGGUUGGAAGCAAGUGAGAAUGUGGCUGAUGCAACAGAUGAUGAAGCCGCUGUCUAUACAGUUGCCAAGGCCCAGUGGCUUGGUGCUGUGGACUGCCAAAAAGAGCAAGAGACCAGACAAGAAAGCCAAGUAGAUGUGGAAGAGCAUGAUCAGUUUGUGGACUACAAAGACAGGAAGGCAAUUCUUGAAAAUACGGAUGGUGCAAAAUCGAGGGAGACCUCAGGAAUUGAAAAUGCAGCCCCUGGUUUGAUUGUUAGGAAGCGGAAGCAUGUUGAGAAGUCGGACCUCACUGACGUGAAGGAUUCUGAACCAUACAAGGAGGCUGAAAUAAAGGCGGAAGAUGCUGUAGCUCUGCUAUUGAAGCAUUCGAGAGGAAUCCAUACGUCCGAUGAGAUGGAACAAGAUAGUGAAAAUGUUCCCCAAAGCAAACAAGCAAGGAAGGACAAGAAGAAACCUAAGAGACUGCUUGGUCCUGAGAGACCAUCGUUUCUGAAUAACGAGUCUGAUUACGAGUCCUGGGUGCCUCCUGAAGGCCAAUCUGGCGAUGGACGCACAUCUUUGAAUGAUCGUUAUGGGUAUUGACUUUGGAUCUCAAUUCAGGCCAAUCUGCCGCAGACUGACUGAAACUUAUGAAGUGGCAGAUGCGGGUAAAGCCCUUCACAGCAACAAAUCAGUAUAGCUCUUUUACGCUCAAUCAAGUGCUAAUAGUUGGCUAAAAAAUUGACACUGUAUAUACGGUCAAAUUAUGUCUGCCCGGCCCGGGAGGUUCCUUUGUAAAGACCUGAAAACGGAAAGCUGCCAACUUUGCGAUCCGUGCUCGUAAAUUAAUUAGUAGUGUACACAUUCUUAUACUUCCUUCCCGCUUUGAUUGCUUUCUACAAUUGACACACACUUUUUUUAUUUUAUUUUAUUUUGCGUGCUGUUUUUUUAUUUUUUUUGGGUUAUUAUUAAAUGUCAAUAUUAAGCAUCUGAGAUGGGGAAGCAGGCAGGGCAAUGCAUAUGCAGAACAUUGCACAGCGCAGGAAAGGAUAUCGACUUGACCGGUGGCACGUGCGAGGCUUGAUUGGUUUACCUUAGUUAGUGGUAUUUAUAUUUGAGUGGCAUUGAAAGUUGUUCUUUUUCUUUCUUUUUUCAGUGUUAUUCGUAUUAUAUUAUUAGAUGAAACGCCAGCACUGAGGGGGCUUAGAAAAUAGUGACAAAGAGGCUUUAUUAUAUUUAUGUAUUGCCACCCUAUUAACAUUUAUUAUUAUUAGGGUCUGCUGUAGAAAUGCGCUCCACAUGUGUAGGUGACUUGCCCUCGUUGGAGGAAGAGCCGUUUUUUUUCUUA